UACGUAGGCAGCAAGCGUUGUUCGGAAUUACUGGGCGUAAAGAGUGUGUAGGCGGUUCUCUAAGUUUGGUGUGAAAUCUCCCGGCUUAACUGGGAGGGUGCGCCGAAAACUGGAAUGCUUGAACAUGGGAGAGGAAAGCGGAAUUCCUGGUGUAGCGGUGAAAUGCGUAGAUAUCAGGAGGAACACCUGCGGUGUAGACGGCUUUCUGGACCAUUGUUGACGCUGAGACACGAAAGCGUGGGUAGCAAACAGG
rnacentral:rRNA from 1 species